AUUGAACGCUGGCGGCAGGCCUAACACAUGCAAGUCGAGCGGUUGAAGGGAGCUUGCUCCUGGAUUCAGCGGCGGACGGGUGAGUAAUGCCUAGGACUCUGCCUGGUAUUGGGGGAUAACGUCCGGAAACGGGCGCUAAUACCGCAUACGUCCUGAGUGAGAAAGUGGGGGAUCUUCGGACCUCACCCUAUCAGAUGAGCCUAGGUCGGAUUAGCUAGUUGGUGGGGUAAAGGCCUACCAAGGCCACGAUCCGUAACUGGUCUGAGAGGAUGAUCAGUCACACUGGAACUGAGACACGGUCCAGACUCCUACGGGAGGCAGCAGUGGGGAAUAUUGGACAAUGGGCGAAAGCAUGAUCCAGCCAAGCCGCGUGUGUGAAGAAGGUCUUCGGAUUGUAAAGCACUUUAAGUUGGGAGGAAGGGCAGUAAGUUAAUACCUUGCUGUUUUGACGUUACCAACAGAAUAAGCACCGGCUAACUUCGUG
rnacentral:rRNA from 1 species